GCCUGAGUGGCCGAGCGGUUCUAGGCGCUUUAGUCUGGAACGCUAGGGUCGCAGGUUCGAAUCCUGCCUCGGGCA
rnacentral:tRNA from 1 species